GACGAACGCUGGCGGCGUGCUUAACACAUGCAAGUCGAGCGGUAAGGCCUCUUCGGGGGUACACGAGCGGCGAACGGGUGAGUAACACGUGAGUAAUCUGCCCUUCACUUUGGGAUAAGCUUCGGAAACGGGGUCUAAUACCGGAUAUGACAUGGCCGCGCAUGUGGUUGUGUGGAAAGUUUUUUCGGUGGGGGAUGUGCUCGCGGCCUAUCAGCUUGUUGGUGGGGUAAUGGCCUACCAAGGCUUUGACGGGUAGCCGGCCUGAGAGGGUGACCGGCCACACUGGGACUGAGACACGGCCCAGACUCCUACGGGAGGCAGCAGUGGGGAAUAUUGGACAAUGGGCGGAAGCCUGAUCCAGCAACGCCGCGUGAGGGAUGACGGCCUUCGGGUUGUAAACCUCUUUCGUCAUCGACGAAGCCCAGUGUUGAUCUGGGUGACGGUAGGUGGGGAAGAAGCACCGGCCAACUACGUGCCAGCAGCCGCAGUAAGAC
rnacentral:rRNA from 1 species